UGUUCUUGCUUAGUUCCCGCCAACUCUCCUACGCUGCUCGCCAGCUUGCUCUCGCCUACGCCGCCGGCGAGCUAAGUCCGUUUCGUCCGCUGGAUGCCACCCUGGCACGGCUGCGCGCUCGCUUAGGUCGGAUGCUAAGUGAGUGCUCGCUUAGAUCGCACUCCCCUAGUUCGUCUUUGCGGACUACGCCCACUUGGCUCCUGGCCAGCUAGGUCGGCAGCCGGCUAGGCGGACGUUCAAAACUUAGUCCGUAAGUACAGAGCCCCGCUGGAGAGCAAACGUGUGAAGUCAAAGGUUGACUACGCACAUAUAUACGAAGGAGGGGCCGGUGAGAAGCGAGUGGGAGAGAUGAGGUCGUCGUGUUUUAUAAGUUCUAGUACAAUCCCAUCUAGAGGGACACAAGAAGGAAUACGCAUACACAACACCUCUAACGACGGGGUUCCACUCGUCUAGUUUAGAAUAAAACAUCAUAGGCUAGUCAAGAAUAUAUACUAUUUAUACCACUUAUGGUUAAGAAACCAAAAGUAGUUCUAGACUCUUACCGUAUAAAAGGUCGGAGGUACACUUUUAAACAAAUUGAAAGUUAAAUAAGUCAAACCAUGAAAACAGGCAAGUUUCAAAUACACAAUUAGAC
rnacentral:rRNA from 1 species